rnacentral:rRNA from 2 species
GUGGGCAACCUGCCCUUGAGACGGGGAUAACUCCGGGAAACCGGAGCUAAUACCGGAUAACACAUAUCUUCGCAUGACGAUAUGUUAGAAGGUGGCUUUUAGCUACCACUCAAGGAUGGGCCCGCGGCGCAUUAGCUAGUUGGUGAGGUAACGGCUCACCAAGGCGACGAUGCGUAGCCGACCUGAGAGGGUGAUCGGCCACACUGGGACUGAGACACGGCCCAGACUCCUACGGGAGGCAGCAGUAGGGAAUCUUCCGCAAUGGACGAAAGUCUGACGGAGCAACGCCGCGUGAGUGAUGAAGGUUUUCGGAUCGUAAAGCUCUGUUGUUAGGGAAGAACAAGUACCUGUURAAUAAGCAGGUACCUUGACGGUACCUAACCAGAAAGCCACGGCUAACUACGUGCCAGCAGCCGCGGUAAUACGUAGGUGGCAAGCGUUGUCCGGAAUUAUUGGGCGUAAAGCGCGCGCAGGCGGUUCCUUAAGUCUGAUGUGAAAGCCCACGGCUCAACCGUGGAGGGUCAUUGGAAACUGGGGAACUUGAGUGCAGAAGAGGAGAGCGGAAUUCCACGUGUAGCGGUGAAAUGCGUAGAGAUGUGGAGGAACACCAGUGGCGAARGGCGGCUCUCUGGUCUGUAACUGACGCUGAGGCGCGAAAGCGUGGGGAGCGAACAGGAUUAGAUACCCUGGUAGUCCACGCCGUAAACGAUGAGUGCUAAGUGUUAGAGGGUUUCCGCCCUUUAGUGCUGCAAACAAAUCGCAUUUAAGCACUCCGCCUGGGGGAGUACCGGUCGGCAGAAUGAAACUCGAAUGGAAUUUGGACGGGGACCCUGCAACAAGCGGUGGAGCUUUGUUGGUUUUAAUUCCGAAGCCCCGCGAA